rnacentral:tRNA from 1 species
AACGGAUGGCCGAGUUGUCUAAGCGAUAGACUUUUACUCCAGGGGUCAGUGGUUCGAGCCCAUUUGAUGGUUA